AGAGUUUGAUCCUGGCUCAGGACGAACGCUGGCGGCGUGCUUAACACAUGCAAGUCGAACGGAAAGGCCCCUUCGGGGGUACUCGAGUGGCGAACGGGUGAGUAACACGUGGGUAAUCUGCCCUGCACUUCGGGAUAAGCCUGGGAAACUGGGUCUAAUACCGGAUAGGACCUCAAGGCGCAUGCCUUGAGGUGGAAAGCUUUUGCGGUGUGGGAUGGACCCGCGGCCUAUCAGCUUGUUGGUGGGGUGACGGCCUACCAAGGCGACGACGGGUAGCCGGCCUGAGAGGGUGUCCGGCCACACUGGGACUGAGAUACGGCCCAGACUCCUACGGGAGGCAGCAGUGGGGAAUAUUGCACAAUGGGCGCAAGCCUGAUGCAGCGACGCCGCGUGGGGGAUGACGGCCUUCGGGUUGUAAACCUCUUUCACCAUCGACGAAGGUCCGGGUUUUCUCGGAUUGACGGUAGGUGGAGAAGAAGCACCGGCCAACUACGUGCCAGCAGCCGCGGUAAUACGUAGGGUGCGAGCGUUGUCCGGAAUUACUGGGCGUAAAGAGCUCGUAGGUGGUUUGUCGCGUUGUUCGUGAAAUCUCACGGCUUAACUGUGAGCGUGCGGGCGAUACGGGCAGACUGGAGUACUGCAGGGGAGACUGGAAUUCCUGGUGUAGCGGUGGAAUGCGCAGAUAUCAGGAGGAACACCGGUGGCGAAGGCGGGUCUCUGGGCAGUAACUGACGCUGAGGAGCGAAAGCGUGGGGAGCGAACAGGAUUAGAUACCCUGGUAGUCCACGCCGUAAACGGUGGGUACUAGGUGUGGGUUUCCUUCCUUGGGAUCCGUGCCGUAGCUAACGCAUUAAGUACCCCGCCUGGGGAGUACGGCCGCAAGGCUAAAACUCAAAGGAAUUGACGGGGGCCCGCACAAGCGGCGGAGCAUGUGGAUUAAUUCGAUGCAACGCGAAGAACCUUACCUGGGUUUGACAUGCACAGGACGCGUCUAGAGAUAGGCGUUCCCUUGUGGCCUGUGUGCAGGUGGUGCAUGGCUGUCGUCAGCUCGUGUCGUGAGAUGUUGGGUUAAGUCCCGCAACGAGCGCAACCCUUGUCUCAUGUUGCCAGCGGGUAAUGCCGGGGACUCGUGAGAGACUGCCGGGGUCAACUCGGAGGAAGGUGGGGAUGACGUCAAGUCAUCAUGCCCCUUAUGUCCAGGGCUUCACACAUGCUACAAUGGCCGGUACAAAGGGCUGCGAUGCCGUGAGGUUAAGCGAAUCCUUUUAAAGCCGGUCUCAGUUCGGAUCGGGGUCUGCAACUCGACCCCGUGAAGUCGGAGUCGCUAGUAAUCGCAGAUCAGCAACGCUGCGGUGAAUACGUUCCCGGGCCUUGUACACACCGCCCGUCACGUCAUGAAAGUCGGUAACACCCGAAGCCAGUGGCCUAACCCUUGGGAGGGAGCUGU
rnacentral:rRNA from 1 species